rnacentral:rRNA from 1 species
GCAGUUAAAAAGCUCGUAGUUGGAUUUCUGUGUUGGUGAGGCGGCCGGCCACUCGUGGUUGUAGCUAGUUAUCACCGGCGCAUCUUGUCACAAGCCACGCUGGCCUUAACUGGUUGGCGUUGGGGACUGACUCGUUUACUUUGAGAAAAUUAGAGUGUUCAAAGCAGGCUAUCGCCUUGAAUAUGUUAGCAUGGAAUAAUGAUAUAGGACUUUGGUUCUAUUUUGUUGGUUGUUCGAGAACCGAAGUAAUGAUUGAUAGGGACAGUUGGGGGCAUCAGUAUUCUGAAGCGAGAGGUGAAAUUCUUGGACCUUCGGAAGACUAACAACUGCGAAAGCAUUUGCCUAGGAUGUUCUCUUUAAUCAAGAACGAAAGUUGGGGGAUCGAAGACGAUCAGAUACCGUCGUAGUCUCAACUAUAAACUAUGCCAGCUAGGGAUUGGUGGACGUUUAUUUACGACUCCAUCAGCACCUUAUGAGAAAUCAAAGCAUUUGGGUUCCGGGGGGAGUAUGGUCGCAAGGCUGAAACUUUAAAAGGAAUUGACGGGGAGGGGCAC